CCCUUAGAUGUUCGGGGCCGCACGCGCGCUACACUGAAGGAAUCAGCACGUCUUUCUCCUUGUCCGAAAGGACUGGGUAACCCGCUGAACCUCCUUCGUGCUAGGGAUUGGGGCUUGUAAUUCUUCCCCAUGAACGAGGAAUUCCCCGUAAGCGCGAGUCAUAAGCUCGCGUUGAUUACGUCCCUGCCCUUUGUACACACCGCCCGUCGCUACUACCGAUUGGAUGGUUUAGUGAGAUCCUCGGAUUGGUCCCGGAGCGGCCUCUGGUCGUGCCGGAGUGCCGAAAAGAAUGUCGAACUUGAUCAUCUAGAGGAAGUAAAAGUCGUAACA
rnacentral:rRNA from 1 species